rnacentral:rRNA from 1 species
GAUGAACGCUGGCGGCGUGCUUAACACAUGCAAGUCGAACGGAAAGGCCACAGCUUGCUGUGGUACUCGAGUGGCGAACGGGUGAGUAACGCGUGGGUGAUCUGCCCUGUACUUCGGGAUAAGCUUGGGAAACUGGGUCUAAUACCGGAUAGGAAUCACAUGUGGGUGUGUGGUUGGAAAGCUUUUGCGGUAUGGGAUGAGCUCGCGGCCUAUCAGCUUGUUGGUGGGGUAAUGGCCUACCAAGGCGUCGACGGGUAGCCGGCCUGAGAGGGUGUACGGCCACAUUGGGACUGAGAUACGGCCCAGACUCCUACGGGAGGCAGCAGUGGGGAAUAUUGCACAAUGGGCGCAAGCCUGAUGCAGCGACGCCGCGUGGGGGAUGACGGCCUUCGGGUUGUAAACUCCUUUCGUCAGGGACGAAGCGAAAGUGACGGUACCUGGAUAAGAAGCACCGGCUAACUACGUG